rnacentral:miRNA from 1 species
CCCAGUUAAAUUUGAGUUUUAGAUAAACAAUGAAUACAUUUUUAGGAUAAGUAUUUCCUAAACAAUAUUUGAGACAUACUUAUACUAAAUAUCGGUGGUUUGUCUGAAAUUCAAAUUUAACUGGGCAUCCUGUA